GAUCCUGGCUCAGGAUGAACGCUAGCGGCAGGCUUAACACAUGCAAGUCGAGGGGCAGCAUAAUGGAUAGCAAUAUCUAUGGUGGCGACCGGCGCACGGGUGCGUAACGCGUAUGCAACCUACCUUUAACAGGGGAGUAACACUGAGAAAUUAGGUACUAAUACCCACUAACAUCAUGAAGGACAUCUUUUAUUGGUUGGUAAAGUUAACCGUACUGUUAGGUAGAUAGGGCGGAUGCGUUGGUUAUUUAG
rnacentral:rRNA from 1 species